UACGUAGGGUGCGAGCGUUGCCCGGAUUUAUUGGGCGUAAAGGGCGCGCAGGCGGUACGGCACGUCCGUUGUGAAAUCGCUCGGCUCAACUGGGCGGGGUCAGCGGAUACGGCCGCACUUGAGCAAGCUAGGGGGCAAUGGAAUUCCCGGUGUAGUGGUGGAAUGCGUAGAUAUCGGGAGGAACACCAGUGGCGAAGGCGGUUGCCUGGAGCUUUGCUGACGCUGAGGCGCGAAAGCUAGGGUAGCGAACGGG
rnacentral:rRNA from 1 species